GACGAACGCUGGCGGCGCGCCUAACACAUGCAAGUCGAACGAGCGAGAGAGAGCUUGCUUUCUCAAGCGAGUGGCGAACGGGUGAGUAACGCGUGAGGAACCUGCCUCAAAGAGGGGGACAACAGUUGGAAACGACUGCUAAUACCGCAUAAGCCCACGACCCGGCAUCGGGUAGAGGGAAAAGGAGCAAUCCGCUUUGAGAUGGCCUCGCGUCCGAUUAGCUAGUUGGUGAGGUAACGGCCCACCAAGGCGACGAUCGGUAGCCGGACUGAGAGGUUGAACGGCCACAUUGGGACUGAGACACGGCCCAGACUCCUACGGGAGGCAGCAGUGGGGAAUAUUGCGCAAUGGGGGAAACCCUGAUGCAGCGACGCCGCGUGGAGGAAGAAGGUCUUCGGAUUGUAAACUCCUGUUGUUGAGGAAGA
rnacentral:rRNA from 1 species